rnacentral:rRNA from 1 species
GGCCUCACGCCAUCAGAUGUGCCCAGAUGGGAUUAGCUAGUAGGUGGGGUAAUGGCUCACCUAGGCGACGAUCCCUAGCUGGUCUGAGAGGAUGACCAGCCACACUGGAACUGAGACACGGUCCAGACCCUACGGGAGGCAGCAGUGGGGAAUAUUGCACAAUGGGCGCAAGCCUGAUGCAGCCAUGCCGCGUGUGUGGAGAAGGCCUUCGGGUUGUAAAGCACUUUCAGCGAGGAGGAAGGGUGGUGUGUUAAUAGCGCAUCACAUUGACGUUACUCGCAGAAGAAGCACCGGCUAACUCCGUGCCAGCAGCCGCGGUAAUACGGAGGGUGCAAGCGUUAAUCGGAAUUACUGGGCGUAAAGCGCACGCAGGCGGUCUGUUAAGUCAGAUGUGAAAUCCCCGCGCUUAACGUGGGAACUGCAUUUGAAACUGGCAAGCUAGAGUCUUGUAGAGGGGGGUAGAAUUCCAGGUGUAGCGGUGAAAUGCGUAGAGAUCUGGAGGAAUACCGGUGGCGAAGGCGGCCCCCUGGACAAAGACUGACGCUCAGGUGCGAAAGCGUGGGGAGCGAACAGGAUUAGAUACCCUGGUAGUCCACGCUGUAAACGAUGUCGACUUGGAGGUUGUGCCCUUGAGGCGUGGCUUCCGGAGCUAACGCGUUAAGUCGACCGCCUGGGGAGUACGGCCGCAAGGUUAAAACUCAAAUGAAUUGACGGGGGCCCGCACAAGCGGUGGAGCAUGUGGUUUAAUUCGAUGCAACGCGAAGAACCUUACCUACUCUUGACAUCCACAGAAUUUGCUAGAGAUAGCUUAGUGCCUUCGGGAACUGUGAGACAGGUGCUGCAUGGCUGUCGUCAGCUCGUGUUGUGAAAUGUUGGGUUAAGUCCCGCAACGAGCGCAACCCUUAUCCUUUGUUGCCAGCACGUAAUGGUGGGAACUCAAAGGAGACUGCCGGUGAUAAACCGGAGGAAGGUGGGGAUGACGUCAAGUCAUCAUGGCCCUUACGAGUAGGGCUACACACGUGCUACAAUGGCGUAUACAAAGAGAAGCGAACUCGCGAGAGCAAGCGGACCUCAUAAAGUACGUCGUAGUCCGGAUCGGAGUCUGCAACUCGACUCCGUGAAGUCGGAAUCGCUAGUAAUCGUAGAUCAGAAUGCUACGGUGAAUACGUUCCCGGGCCUUGCACACACCGCCCGUCA